rnacentral:lncRNA from 1 species
UGUACUAUUCCUCUUCUUCCUUCUCCUUUCAUCCUCUUCUUCAUGAUCUUCAUCAUCAACAACACACCAACCCAGAAAAAAAAAUCCUUUUCAAUCUUUACCAAUUUAGAACCCAAAAUCAUUCAAUCUCUAAUCUCAUAUAUCAACUUUAAUUCCCAGAAAAAGAUGCUAAAUUAAAUUGUUGAAAGGAAAUUAAAUAAUUUGAUGUGUGUGAAGGAAUGAACAACGA